GUCUAUAGAAGCAGAUCUUAAGUUGUCUAAUAUACAAGCUAAAUGUUGGAUGGAGCUAGAUAUUGAAUAGGGUUUAGGUGCUCCAUGUUAUGAACAGAAUAAUUAAAUGCCAAUGGUUUAAGGAGGGACUAGGGAUCAUUAUAUGUACCUACCUAACAACAUAGAAUCUAAUUGAUCACUAACUAGGUACAGUAAGCCCAAGGCUUGUAUCAUAACAAAGACAAGCAAGAAAAAAAAAAUUAGAUGAGAGAGAGAGAGAGAGCCGCCCAGUAUUUGCCCCCCCCCUCCUUUUUUUUCUUCUUUUUAUUCCAUUUCUAAUGAUUGAUUUCUUUCAUUGUUUCUUGUCCAUAAUUUGGACCUUGAUUAAUGUUUGGGAGGUUAUAUAGGAAGCCUCACAGAUUCUUUGGAAAGAUAGGACUGCAUCAAUGAGGAUUGAGGAAAGGUGAGGUUAUACUUUCUACAAAAUUUCCAAUGGUCAGAAUCUACUUCUUGGAGAAACAACUUGAGGUUCUCUGCUACAGGAGUUGCAGGCAAUCCAUUUUAAACUCUUCAUGAGAAGACAACGGGUACGAUUAAAGAACAACUUCAUGCAAUAGCCCCAGUAUUGGAACAACUAUGGAAGCUGAAAGAGGAGAGAAUAAAGGAAUUUUUUGAUGCCGCUGUAGGAAUCGGAAACCGGAUCAGCCUCAGUUGAUUUUGAUUCUGCCGGAAUCGUCCAGGAAUCGACUUGAACCUAAGAAAGCCUCAGUUGUAUAUUGUAUAUUGAGAAAUAAAUUGUAUAUUCUGUUUUCUUUUCGUGGAUGUAUUAUUACAGGAAUUUAUGUUGUAAAUAUAAUUUAUUUUUUU